CUCAGGAUGAACGCUGGCGGCGUGCUUAACACAUGCAAGUCGAACGGAGUUUUUAAACGGAAGUCCUCGGAUGGAAGUUUAGAAACUUAGUGGCGGACGGGUGAGUAACGCGUGAGUAACCUGCCUCAUACAGGGGGAUAACAGUCGGAAACGAUUGCUAAAACCGCAUAACAUAGCGAAACCGCAUGAUUUUGCUAUCAAAUAUUUAUAGGUAUGAGAUGGGCCCGCGUCUGAUUAGCUAGUUGGUGGGGUAAUGGCCUACCAAGGCGACGAUCAGUAGCCGGCUUGAGAGAGUGACCGGCCACAUUGGGACUGAGACACGGCCCAAACUCCUACGGGAGGCAGCAGUGGGGAAUAUUGGACAAUGGGGGAAACCCUGAUCCAGCCGACGCCGCGUGAGUGAAGAAGUAUUUCGGUAUGUAAAGCUCUAUCAGCAGGGAAGAUAAUGACAGUACCUGACUAAGAAGCCCCGGCUAACUACGUGCCAGCCGCCGC
rnacentral:rRNA from 1 species